rnacentral:lncRNA from 1 species
GCUCAUUUUCUUCAUGAUCCAUGGUUUGAAUUUGUUCUUAACUCUGAAAUUUAAGAAAACAAAUUCAGAUAUUAAAAUGUGAAAUUUAAGGGAAAAAAUUCAGAUGUUAGCUCUGAAUUCCCGAUUUAAUUUAACACUCCACCGACUGGAACUGUGGAACACUCUGAAUUCCAGAUUUAAUCCCCACUCUGAAAUACCUAACUUUGUGUAUUAAAGACACCAAUCCAAUGAAAUCAGCACACAAUAGAUCUCUCUAUUCACUCUAUAGUCUAUUCUAAAUCCAAUGAAAUCAGCAGUGCUUCAAAUUGUAUUUAUUUAUAGUCUAUAGUCUGAAAUCAGCAGUGCUUCUAUAGUCUAUUCACUCUAUAGUCUGAUUCAGCACCUCCUUCAAAUUGUAUUUAUUUAUAUCAAAAUACAGUACUACCUUGUAUUCUUGUAAUCGCUUCUUGUAUAUACAGUAUUUAUUUAUAUCAAAAUACAGUACUACCUUAUAUCAAAAUACACUACUAUCAAAUUGUAUUUAUUUAUAUUCAGCACCUCCUUCUAUAGUAUCAAUACCCAUCAAAAUAACUCACGAUUUCUACCUUGUUAGGUGUGUAACUGUAAUCGCGAGUUUAUACCCAUCUAGAAAGUAGAAACGCGAUUUCUACCUUGGAAGCAGCGGCCAGGAAACGCGAUUUCCUUCGUCGAUUUCAGUAGCAGAGGAAGCAGCAACAGAAAUCCUUGGGCGAUUUCACGAUUUCAGUAGCAGCGGAGCCGGAAGCAGGCAAGCAACUGAUUUCACGAUUUUAGUAGUAUACUAAUAUCGUUGUAAAUGAUUUAGGAUUUAGGU